AUAUGGCCAUUUCGAAGCUACGAUUAUAAAUUAAUUUAUUAUUGUAGUCAAAAAUGGGCCAAUAUCAAAGCCGCUUUUAAGGUCACUGGCUAAAUUUAUAUUAUAUUUCUUCAGUAUUACCCAAAGUGGAUACAUUU